AACGCGAAGAACCUUACCUGGUCUUGACAUCCACGGAAGUUUUCAGAGAUGAGAAUGUGCCUUCGGGAACCGUGAGACAGGUGCUGCAUGGCUGUCGUCAGCUCGUGUUGUGAAAUGUUGGGUUAAGUCCCGCAACGAGCGCAACCCUUAUCCUUUGUUGCCAGCGGUCCGGCCGGGAACUCAAAGGAGACUGCCAGUGAUAAACUGGAGGAAGGUGGGGAUGACGUCAAGUCAUCAUGGCCCUUACGACCAGGGCUACACACGUGCUACAAUGGCGCAUACAAAGAGAAGCGACCUCGCGAGAGCAAGCGGACCUCAUAAAGUGCGUCGUAGUCCGGAUUGGAGUCUGCAACUCGACUCCAUGAAGUCGGAAUCGCUAGUAAUUGUGGAUCAGAAUGCCACGGUGAAUACGUUCCCGGGCCUUGUACACACCGCCCGU
rnacentral:rRNA from 1 species